rnacentral:rRNA from 1 species
UAGUCCAGCCACUGGAACUGACCGCGCCCAGACUCCUACGGAGCAGCAGGUGGGAAUUUGGAACAAUUGGGGCAACUGAAUCCCAGCAUGCCGCGUGAGUGAAGAAAGCCUUCGGGUUGUAAGCUCUUUGGUCGGGAGAAAGCGCCUUGCCUAAUACGCGAGGUGGUGACGGUACCGGCAGAAUAAGCACCGGCUAACUACGUGCCAGCAGCCGCGGUAAUACGUAGGGUGCGAGCGUAAUCGGAAUUACUGGGCGUAAAGCGUGCGCAGGCGGUUCGUUAAGUCUGAUGUGAAAGCCCCGGGCUCAACCUGGGAAUGGCAUUGGAAACUGGCGGGCUGGAGUGUGGCAGAGGGGGGUGGAAUUCCACGUGUAGCAGUGAAAUGCGUAGAGAUGUGGAGGAACACCGAUGGCGAAGGCAGCCCCCUGGGCCAACACUGACGCUCAGGCACGAAAGCGUGGGGAGCAAACAGGAUUAGAUACCCUGGUAGUCCACGCCCUAAACGAUGAUCACUGGGUGUUGGGGAAGCGAUUCCUUGGUACCGUAGCUAACGCGUGAAGUGAUCCGCCUGGGGAGUACGGUCGCAAGAUUAAAACUCAAAGGAAUUGACGGGGACCCGCACAAGCGGUGGAUGAUGUGGAUUAAUUCGAUGCAACGCGAACAACCUUACCUACCC